UGGGGAAUAUUGCACAAUGGGCGAAAGCCUGAUGCAGCGACGCCGCGUGAGGGAUGACGGCCUUCGGGUUGUAAACCUCUUUCAGUAGGGACGAAGCGCACGGGACGGUACCUGCAGAAGAAGCACCGGCUAACUACGUGCCACCAGCCGCGGUAAUACGUAGGGUGCGAGCGUUGUCCGGAAUUACUGGGCGUAAAGAGCUCGUAGGCGGUUUGUCACGUCGUCUGUGAAAUCCUAGGGCUUAACCCUGGACGUGCAGGCGAUACGGGCUGACUUGAGUACUACAGGGGAGACUGGAAUUUCUGGUGUAGCGGUGGAAUGCACAGAUAUCAGGAAGAACACCGAUGGCGAAGGCAGGUCUCUGGGUAGUAACUGACGCUGAGGAGCGAAAGCAUGGGUAGCGAACAGG
rnacentral:rRNA from 1 species